AGCUCCAAGAGCGUAUAUUAAAGUUGUUGCAGUUAAAAAGCUCGUAGUUGGAUUUCUGGUACAACGCGCCUGGCCCGCAUUUUUGUGAGUGCCGGUGCGCGUUUGCCAUCCUUCUAGAAAACGUUUCUACCUGGGCAACCGGGCCGGACUCGCGAUCUAGAUCUUUUACUUUGAAAAAAUUAGAGUGUUUAAAGCAGGCUUUUGCUGUGAAUACAUUAGCAUGGAAUAAUGAUCUAGGACUUUGGUUCUAUUUCGUUGGUUUCUAGUACUGAAGUAAUGAUUGAUAGGGAUAGUUGGGGGUGCUAGUAUUGGCCGGCCAGAGGUGAAAUUCUUGGAUUCGGUCAAGACUAACUUAUGCGAAAGCAUUCACCAAGGAUGUCUUCUUUAAUCAAGAACGAAA
rnacentral:rRNA from 1 species